UACGUAGGUGGCGAGCGUUAUCCGGAAUGAUUGGGCGUAAAGGGUGCGCAGGCGGUCCUGCAAGUCUGGAGUGAAACGUAUGAGCUCAACUCAUGCAUGGCUCUGGAAACUGGAGGACUGGAGAGCAGGAGAGGGCGGUGGAACUCCAUGUGUAGCGGUAAAAUGCGUAGAUAUUUGGAAGAACACCGAUGGCGAAGGCAGCCCCCUGGGACGCAACUGACGCUCAUACACGAAAGCGUGGGGAGCAAACAGG
rnacentral:rRNA from 1 species